rnacentral:rRNA from 1 species
GACAGAGGGUGCGAACGUUGCUCGGAAUUACUGGGCGUAAAGCGCGUGUAGGCGGGUGAUCAAGUCAGGGGUGAAAUCCUCCGGCUCAACCGGAGAACUGCCUUUGAUACUGGUCAUCUCGAGUGAGGUAGGGGCAUGCGGAACUGAUGGUGGAGCGGUGAAAUGUGUUGAUAUCAUCAGGAACUCCGGUGGCGAAAGCGGCGUGCUGGACCUUUACUGACGCUGAUGCGCGAAAGCCAGGGGAGCGAACGGG